AACGAACGCUGGCGGCAGGCUUAACACAUGCAAGUCGAACGCCCCGCAAGGGGAGUGGCAGACGGGUGAGUAACGCGUGGGAACAUACCCUUUCCUGCGGAAUAGCUCUGGGAAACUGGAAUUAAUACCGCAUACGCCCUACGGGGGAAAGAUUUAUCGGGGAAGGAUUGGCCCGCGUUGGAUUAGCUAGUUGGUGGGGUAAAGGCCUACCAAGGCGACGGUCCAUAGCUGGUCUGAGAGGAUGAUCAGCCACAUUGGGACUGAGACACGGCCAAACUCCUACGGGAGGCAGCAGUGGGGAAUAUUGGACAAUGGGCGCAAGCCUGAUCCAGCCAUGCCGCGUGAGUGAUGAAGGCCUUAGGGUUGUAAAGCUCUUUCACCGAUAAAGAUAAUGACGGUAGUCGGAGAAGAAGCCCCGGCUAACUUCGUGCCAGCCGCCGCCGUAACAC
rnacentral:rRNA from 1 species